rnacentral:lncRNA from 1 species
GGCUUCUCAAUUUGCAUCUUCCCUGUUUUUGAAUUAUUAAUUAACAAUCUGAAUAAGUGAAUGACUCCUCCUCACUGGCUUAUUAGCUAUAGUUAACUACACUAGAUAAAGCUUACAAAGGGGAUAAAGCUUACAAAGUGUCAGGAUAUACAAUGAUAUACUGUGAAUUCAGAAAUACUUUUGGGAUACAAAUAUAUUUGGAUAACAAAUAUUGUUGAGAUACAAACAUUUUUGGAUACAGAUGAACCUCAAAUUUAAAUGUUCACCAAAACAUUGUAAAAUACAAAUUUGCCAUAGACUUGUAUGCAGACUUUAGUAAUAACACCUAA